rnacentral:rRNA from 1 species
CACUGCCGAGAAAAGCCUCUAGAUAGAAAAUAGGUGCCCGUACCGCAAACCGACACAGGUAGUCAAGAUGAGAAUUCUAAGGUGAGCGAGCGAACUCUCGUUAAGGAACUCGGCAAAAUGACCCCGUAACUUCGGGAGAAGGGGUGCUCUUUAGGGUUAACGCCCAGAAGAGCCGCAGUGAAUAGGCCCAAGCGACUGUUUAUCAAAAACACAGGUCUCUGCUAAACCGUAAGGUGAUGUAUAGGGGCUGACGCCUGCCCGGUGCUGGAAGGUUAAGAGGAGUGGUUAGCUUCUGCGAAGCUACGAAUCGAAGCCCCAGUAAACGGCGGCCGUAACUAUAACGGUCCUAAGGUAGCGAAAUUCCUUGUCGGGUAAGUUCCGACCCGCACGAAAGGCGUAACGAUUUGGGCACUGUCUCAACGAGAGACUCGGUGAAAUCAUAGUACCUGUGAAGAUGCAGGUUACCCGCGACAGGACGGAAAGACCCCGUGGAGCUUUACUGUAGCCUGAUAUUGAAAUUCGGCACAGCUUGUACAGGAUAGGUAGGAGCCUUUGAAACGUGAGCGCUAGCUUACGUGGAGGCGCUGGUGGGAUACUACCCUAGCUGUGUUGGCUUUCUAACCCGCACCACUUAUCGUGGUGGGAGACAGUGUCAGGCGGGCAGUUUGACUGGGGCGGUCGCCUCCUAAAAGGUAACGGAGGCGCUCAAAGGUUCCCUCAGAAUGGUUGGAAAUCAUUCAUAGAGUGUAAAGGCAUAAGGGAGCUUGACUGCGAGACCUACAAGUCGAGCAGGGUCGAAAGACGGACUUAGUGAUCCGGUGGUUCCGCAUGGAAGGGCCAUCGCUCAACGGAUAAAAGCUACCCCGGGGAUAACAGGCUUAUCUCCCCCAAGAGUUCACAUCGACGGGGAGGUUUGGCACCUCGAUGUCGGCUCAUCGCA